rnacentral:lncRNA from 1 species
AUGAGAUGCAUAUUUUUUUGCAAAUGUCAUAUGUGCGCAGAGAAUUCAUGCUCUAGGCACGAUGUUUCACCAAAAGAAGGUAUUAUCUUAGUACUGGAAAUCUUAGCCUUUUUUCAAGCACCAGAGGUGUUGUAUAUCAUUAUCGACGGGGACAGCAAUUACAGAACAGAAAGAGUUUCAGAAUAAAACUCAAGAACUCAGCCUCUCAACAAUUAUUAUUCGACGAAAUACAGCCUAAUGGUUCACAUCAACACAACUCAACAGGUGUUCUUCCAAUACAAAAACGAAUGUAGUUGCUAACAAUGAACACAUGAAAAUAAAAUCUGAGCUGAAAAAUCAAACGGAAUUUCAGACCACAAACUGAGGCAUCCAAAGCUACUCCUGCUUUUGCUGCUGAUCAUCUCCAUGCCAGGCCCAGACUAUCCUUCAGCGCUGGCCGGAUGUGCUCUUCGAAUAGUUUCUGAUACUCAAGUGAAUCACCGCUUUUGGUGACGUUGAAUCACAUAACGUAAAGAAUGCCCUAUAACUUUUUUGCUUCUGUAGUUG